CGGAGGUCAGCGGCGGACGGGUGAGUAACACGUGGGCAACCUGCCUGUAAGACUGGGAUAACUCCGGGAAACCGGAGCUAAUACCGGAUACUAUGUCAAACCGCAUGGUUUGACAUUCAAAGACGGUUUCGGCUGUCACUUACAGAUGGGCCCGCGGCGCAUUAGCUAGUUGGUGAGGUAAUGGCUCACCAAGGCGACGAUGCGUAGCCGACCUGAGAGGGUGAUCGGCCACACUGGGACUGAGACACGGCCCAGACUCCUACGGGAGGCAGCAGUAGGGAAUCUUCCGCAAUGGACGAAAGUCUGACGGAGCAACGCCGCGUGAGUGAUGAAGGUUUUCGGAUCGUAAAACUCUGUUGUCAGGGAAGAACAAGUGCCGGAGUAACUGCCGGCGCCUUGACGGUACCUGACCAGAAAGCCACGGCUAACUACGUGCCAGCAGCCGCGGUAAUACGUAGGUGGCAAGCGUUGUCCGGAAUUAUUGGGCGUAAAGCGCGCGCAGGCGGUUUCUUAAGUCUGAUGUGAAAGCCCCCGGCUCAACCGGGGAGGGUCAUUGGAAACUGGGAAACUUGAGUGCAGAAGAGGAGAGUGGAAUUCCACGUGUAGCGGUGAAAUGCGUAGAGAUGUGGAGGAACACCAGUGGCGAAGGCGACUCUCUGGUCUGUAACUGACGCUGANGCGCGAAAGCGUGGGGAGCGAACAGGAUUAGAUACCCUGGUAGUCCACGCCGUANCGAUGAGUGCUAAGUGUUUAGAGGGUUUCCGCCC
rnacentral:rRNA from 1 species